ensembl:snoRNA
CCGCAAGCCGUGCAGCGUGGCUGGGUCUGCCUGUGACCUUGCUCAUUCCUGUAGUGCUUGCAAGAGCAACCCUGAGGUGGUUUGAGGCCUUGUUCUGCUUCCCUUUUGGGACAAGGUUACAAAAAUUUCAGACAUUC